UAGGGAAUCUUUCACAAUGGGCGAAAGCCUGAUGGAGCAACGCCGCGUGCAGGAUGAAGGCCUUCGGGUUGUAAACUGCUUUUAUAAGCGAGAAAUAUGAUGGUAACUUAUGAAUAAGGAUCGGCUAACUACGUGCCAGCAGCCGCGGUCAUACGUAGGAUCCGAGCAUUAUCCGGAGUGACUGGGUGUAAAGAGUUGCGUAGGUGGCAUAAUAAGUAGCUAGUGAAAUCUGGUGGCUCAACCAUUCAGACUAUUAGCUAAACUGUUAAGCUCGAGACCGUUAGGGGUAACUGGAAUUUCUAGUGUAGGAGUGAAAUCCGUAGAUAUUAGAAAGAAC
rnacentral:rRNA from 1 species